GACGAACGCUGGCGGCGUGCCUAAUACAUGCAAGUAGAACGCACAGUUUAUACCGUAGCUUGCUACACCAUAGACUGUGAGUUGCGAACGGGUGAGUAACGCGUAGGUAACCUGCCUGGUAGCGGGGGAUAACUAUUGGAAACGAUAGCUAAUACCGCAUAAUAUUAAUUAUUGCAUGAUAAUUAAUUGAAAGGUGCAAUUGCACCACUACCAGAUGGACCUGCGUUGUAUUAGCUAGUAGGUGAGGUAACGGCUCACCUAGGCGACGAUACAUAGCCGACCUGAGAGGGUGAUCGGCCACACUGGGACUGAGACACGGCCCAGACUCCUACGGGAGGCAGCAGUAGGGAAUCUUCGGCAAUGGACGAAAGUCUGACCGAGCAACGCCGCGUGAGUGAAGAAGGUUUUCGGAUCGUAAAGCUCUGUUGUAAGAGAAGAACGGGUGUGAGAGUGGAAAGUUCACACUGUGACGGUAUUUUACCAGAAAGGGACGGCUAACUACGUG
rnacentral:rRNA from 1 species